rnacentral:lncRNA from 1 species
ACGAUUUGUCGCCCUUUAAAUAAAUACAAAAAUGAACAUUUUACGUCAACGGCUUACUAAAACAUGUGAGAUUUAAAUUUCACUAUGAAGUGCCUGGACAUUUUCAUUAUGUUUACAUUACUUUCAUUUAAGGGUUGUACUGGUUUCGUCAUGUGCUACACGUGUGAGGGCUAUUCAGAUUCCAACUGCUCACUGUUAACGCCGCAAAUAACGUCAAUGAUUGUUAAUUGUAGUGGAUCAUGUUAUAAAUCGGUUAAGUACCAUAAAAACCAGAUAUACGAGAUACGAAAAUGUGAGAACACAUUUCAGUCUGAUGGGUGUGUCCGGGAGCGUGAUACGACGUGUUACUGCAGCUACGACUACUGCAAUGGGGUGCAGACAGCACGUGUACUCGCGUCUACCGCCAUCUUGACAGCCCUGCUACACAUUCUGUGGUGGUGAAUUCUACGUGGACAUUAUGAAGUGAAAGCUGCUGUAAAGGACAGUCAUUAUAAGAACCGCCUGUCUGUGUAGUAUUAUAAAAGGCAUUAAGUGUGAAUUCAGACAAAUCUACUGCAAAGAAGUCAUUAGAUACACACACCACCUAUACACUAUUUUGUCUCAAAUAUCAGUUGCACGAACACAAAUAUCUUCCUAUGUUGAUGUCAAAAAGAAAACAAAAAGACAUCAUUUUGUUUUGUUAUAAUAAUAUAUUAUCACAUUUAAUGUUACAGCAAUGUAUUGCAUACUAAACAAAUUUUUUUCUCUCACAAAGUAACAAAAACAAUACAAUGGAUUAGAUUUUUUUUUUAAAGAAAAAAAGAAAAGAAAGUGUUUAAAUUGAAUGACGGUAUCCCUCAACUUUCCAGCAAGUUGCAAAGACCUACUAUAUUGCAUUUCAGCUAAGCAGUGGUUCUGAAUGGGGUGGUUCGUGGACAGGGGGAUGAGGACAGGACUGGGGAGGGUAGGGUAAGUAAUCUGGGCAAAGGUUACGAGUAUUAUAUACAUUUGUCAGUACUAAUUAUAUUGCAGGUCAACAGAAUAUCACACACACAAUCUCCAUAUCCCUCAAGUGACCCACAAAUGAAAAAUACCAUUUUAUUGUGAUGGAUUUUCUCUAAGAGUAGUAGCAAUAAUAAUAAUAAUAAUAAUAAUAAUAACUGUGAAAAUAAGUUUGAAAAGCAUCAAAAAGGGAUGGGUGUGUGUGCACUGACAUGACCCCAACAUAAAUGAUUCAGAGCCACUGGUCACUCAAGGAAAUAACUGACAAAAGGUAGCUUUAGGGGGCUUCAGUAAGUGCUCACUCUGCCCUUUUGUUACGAGGUUUCAGCAUGAUGGAAAAUUCUGUAAGUGUUUGGAAAGGUCAUAGCAGAUCCAUAUAGGGGUUCUAGGGAUGUGCAACUCAUGUUACAAGUGCCCUGAACCAAAACAAAUGAUGAGGAUAUCUUUUUCUUUUGGGUUUCUUGGAUAGACAGCUGCACUUCAUUACAGUAUUGUGUACUGGGUUGGAUCGGAUCUACAAAGAUGAAUUUGAUAGAAACAAAUGGGGGAAAAUAGUUACAUGUACAGGCUGCGAAUUUAGUAUGAUUCCAUACUCCCACAAAUACGAGAUUUGGUGUCGGAAAUGUAAGAUUACGAGACUGAAUCUAAAAAUAUCUACAUUAAAUCAUUUUGAUAUCUUGGCAGAAUCAUAAAACAAAAUUCCAUGCCCGAUAUAUGUUGUAAAUAACAGGGUUUUUUUGUUUUGAGUAUCCAUUGUACAGAGAUCACAUUAUACUGUAACACACUAGGCCUAUAUUAGUUUUUAUUAUCCCAUACAGCUUUCAAUGAAAACAUACAAAUGGCAAAUUAAUCACAAUUUUUGCCUAUACAUUAUGACAUGAAAGAUGGUAUAUACAUCUUAUGAAUGAAUACAGGAUAAAAUGGUUUUGAAAAUCAAACAAAUGCAACAGUGUCAAGAGCCUUUUCAACUAGUGAUAAGCAUCGCAAUAUGUUAACCGUAGGUGUAUGUUGUAUCUUAAUUCAUUUGGCCAUUUACAGAGUUCACAUAGUUUACACAUCCAAUAGUUCACUCACUCACACUAUGAUGGCCAAUUACAAGAAAAAUAAAUGUUUUGGUUUUGCAUUUAUAUGGGUGCAUAGGUUUUACAGAUAAUUAAAAGUUAUGUCAAAGUUAUUCUGCAAAACAGCACCAAGAAUAAUGAAUAGAUUUUUGGGGAGCCUGAAAAAUAUACCCCAAAAGACUAAUUUUUCUUUUCUUGUUUUUAGAUUAAAAAGCAAAAUACUUCCAUAUAAGACUAUAUUUAUUACAAAGGUUUGUUACAAACAUUUCAGUUAACGCCCCAACAGGGAACAUUUUGUUUUUAAAAUUUGAUUAACAAUAUUUCUAGUCAAAUGAAAAUGGAUUAGCAACUACCGUUAAUGUUUUACAAUUGUGUAGCGAUCUCUGAAACUUGCUUCGUGAUCCAAGCUCAUUGUUAAUAUUUACAACAGAUUAUUUCAUUUGCUUUCUUCCCAUAAUGAAUACUUUAUCAUAACCUAUUACUGGUAUGUCUGGACACCACUACUCACUUUGGCAUGCAUUCCUAAGCAAUUUUUAUACAUUUUUGUAUCAGGAAAAAAAUUCUAUAAAAAAUACAAUACAUGGAAA